CCCUGGUAGUCCACGCCGUAAACGAUGAGAACUAGAUGUUAGAGGGCUUCGGCUUUUUAGUAUCGCAGCUAACGCGAUAAGUUCUCCGCCUGGGGAGUACGGCCGCAAGGUUAAAACUCAAAGGAAUUGAUGGGGGCCCGCACAAGCGGUGGAGCAUGUGGUUUAAUUCGAUGCAACGCGAAGAACCUUACCUACCUUUGAAUCCACGGAAUCUUACAGAGAUGUGAGAGUGCCUUCGGGAACCGUGAGACAGGUGCUGCAUGGCUGUCGUCAGCUCGUGUCGUGAGAUGUUGGGUUAAGUCCCGUAACGAGCGCAACCCUUAUCCUUAGUUACCAACGAGAAAGACGGGUACUUUAAGGAGACUGCCGGUGAUAAACCGGAGGAAGGUGGGGAUGACGUCAAGUCCUCAUGGCCCUUACAGGUAGGGCUACACACGUGCUACAAUGGCCGGUACAAAGGGUUGCCAACCCGCGAGGGGGAGCCAAUCCCAAAAAGCCGGUCGUAGUCCGGAUUGGAGUCUGCAACUCGACUCCAUGAAGUUGGAAUCGCUAGUAAUCGUGGAUCAGCACGCCACGGUGAAUACGUUCCCGGGCCUUGUACACACCGCCCGUCACGCCAUGGGAGUGGGCUGUACCAGAAGCAGGUAGAC
rnacentral:rRNA from 1 species